rnacentral:rRNA from 1 species
UUGGAGGGCAAGUCUGGUGCCAGCAGCCGCGGUAAUUCCAGCUCCAAUAGCGUAUAUUAAAGUUGUUGCAGUUAAAAAGCUCGUAGUUGAAUUUCGGGAUUAGUACGUUGGUCGUGCCUUAGGUACGUACUGGUGUUACUGGUUCCUACCUUCUGACGAACCAUCAUGUCAUUAAUUUGGUGUGGUGGGGAAUCAGGACUAUUACUUUGAAAAAAUUAGAGUGUUUAAAGCAGGCUCGCGCUUGAAUACAUUAGCAUGGAAUAAUGAAAUAGGACGUUGACCCUAUUUUGUUGGUUUCUAGGAUUGACGUAAUGAUUAAUAGGGAUAGUUGGGGGCAUUAGUAUUCAAUUGUCAGAGGUGAAAUUCUUGGAUUUAUUGAAGACUAACUACUGCGAAAGCAUUCGCCAAGGAUGUUUUCAUUAAUCAAGAACGAAAGUUAGGGGAUCGAAGACGAUCAGAUACCGUCGUAGUCUUAACCAUAAACUAUGCCGACUAGGGAUCGGAUGAUGUUAAUUUUUUAAUGACUCAUUCGGCGCCUUACGAGAAA